rnacentral:rRNA from 1 species
UACGUACCGUACGAACGUUAUUCGGAAUCACUGGGCUUAAAGAGUCCGUAGGCGGCCCUAAAGGUGAGGUGUGAAAUCCCACGGCUUAACCGUGGAACUGCGCUUCAAACCAUAGGGCUAGAGGGUGAUAGAGGAAAGCGGAACUGAUGGUGGAGCGGUGAAAUGCGUUGAUAUCAUCAGGAACACCGGUGGCGAAAGCGGCUUUCUGGGCCACUUCUGACGCUGAGGGACGAAAGCUAGGGGAGCGAACGGG